rnacentral:rRNA from 1 species
UACAGAGGUCCCAAGCGUUGUUCGGAUUUACUGGGCGUAAAGGGUGCGUAGGCGGCGAGGAAAGUUCGGGGUGAAAUCUCCAGGCUCAACUUGGAAAUUGCCCUGAAGACUUCCUUGCUCGAGGGUCGCAGAGGAGACUGGAAUUCUCGGUGUAGCAGUGAAAUGCGUAGAUAUCGAGAGGAACACCAGUGGCGAAAGCGGGUUUCUGGGCUGACACUGACGCUGAGGCGCGAAAGCCAGGGGAGCAAACGGG